UACGAAGGGAGCUAGCGUUGCUCGGAAUCACUGGGCGUAAAGGGCGCGUAGGCGGAUCUUUAAGUCGGGGGUGAAAGCCCAGGGCUCAACCCUGGAAUUGCCUUCGAUACUGGAGAUCUUGAGACCGGAAGAGGUAAGUGGAACUGCGAGUGUAGAGGUGAAAUUCGUAGAUAUUCGCAAGAACACCAGUGGCGAAGGCGGCUUACUGGUCCGGUUCUGACGCUGAGGCGCGAAAGCGUGGGGAGCAAACAGG
rnacentral:rRNA from 1 species